UACUUACUAGACUAGACAGUGCUAUGGGUUAGAGAGAGAGGUUACUUACUAGACAGUGUAAUGGGUUAGAGAGAGAGGUUACUUACUAGACAGUGUAAUGGGUUAGAGAGAGAGGUUACUUACUAGACAGUGUAAUGGGUUAGAGAGAGAGGUUACUUACGAGACUAGACAGUGUAAUGGG